GCCACCGUAGCUCAGUCUGGUAGAUCGAUACCUUGGUAAGGUAUAGGCCGCGGGUUCAAAUCCCGCCGGUGGCU
rnacentral:tRNA from 1 species